CAGGUUUUUCUCUCGGGGUUCAGAUCCAUCAGUCUCCCUCUGCUGUCAUCAGAAACACCGGUGACAAUGUGCAACUUGUAUGUACUCAUGGACAAAGUGACUACAGAGUGAUGCUGUGGUACCAGCAGUCACCUGGGGACAAGGCUCUGAAACUCAUUGGAUAUGGAUAUACACAAUUCAAAAAUGACAGCGUGGAAGAGCUGUUUAGAAAACACUUCAAAUUAGCUGGAGAUCUGAGUGGAAACAACAAAAAUGGUUCACUUUCCAUAAUCAAUCUGAAAGCACUUGAACACAGCGCAGUGUACUUCUGUGCUGCUAGUAAGCCACAGUGUAUCAAACACCCAUCUGCCCUUGACAAAAACCUCUUCCUCUCUCUCUGCUCAGAGACUCAGGCUGGUUCUUCACAUUCAACAUGAUGCCAUCUCAACUCAUCGUUUCCAUCAUCACUUUGUUCUGGGUUAAAGGAGUUUACCUCAGUGAAGAAAAACAAGUAUUUCAGACUCCAACUGAGCUGUUUAUUAAACCAAACGGUGAAGUCAACUUGAGCCUCACACAUAAAAUCCCGAGAUACGACACUGUUCUCUGGUAUCAGCGCUCACCAGGAAACACUUCCCUAAAGCUCAUCGCCUACGUGUAUUAUAAAACUCCUAAGGUUGAGUCGGAAUUUCAGAAUCACUUCAAUGUGAGUGGAGACGGAGAGAAAACAGCUUAUCUUCACAUCCUGAACCCGAGACACCCUGAAGAAAGUGGAGAAUAUUUUGGAGCAGCAAGUAUAUACACAGCAAUAAAGACAGUGACUCUCUCAUACAAAAACCUCCACAAUGAUCCAGCAGAGAACAGCACACCAACAGGAAACCACUGGAACCACCUCACACAGUGUCAAAGUUCUGAGAGUCUUCAUUAAUACUGUUCAUUAGAAUAUGCUUAUCCUUUUACUGUGUACAUUUAGGAAGUAAAGAAUAAGAUAGAAAAUGAUAAAGAGAAUGAUGAGAAAAACCAAGAAAGUGAAUAAGGUUCCUUUUAUAGCACUGUUUCCAAAAACCCUGAUUUUAGCGGAUAUGUAUAUUUAGCGAAAAAAUAAAGUCACAAGGAUAUACUGAGUGCUUGAACUGCUUUAACAGAUUCCCUCAGGUGAAUAAAAACUGUCUGUGUGAAUCAGAAUCAUAAAAGCAGAGAGCAGUGAAACACACUGACAUGGGGGCAGUUGUAAGCUCCUCCUUCCUCAUUACAAAUCAAAUGUGCAUUUAUCUGUUUAAGUCCCAGUUAAGAGUUGAUCCAUCACAGAGAACAUUAU
rnacentral:lncRNA from 15 species